rnacentral:rRNA from 4 species
UGGGGAAUAUUGCACAAUGGGCGCAAGCCUGAUGCAGCGACGCCGCGUGAGGGAUGGAGGCCUUCGGGUUGUAAACCUCUUUUAUCGGGGAGCAAGCGUGAGUGAGUUUACCCGUUGAAUAAGCACCGGCUAACUACGUGCCAGCAGCCGCGGUAAUACGUAGGGUGCAAGCGUUAUCCGGAAUUAUUGGGCGUAAAGGGCUCGUAGGCGGUUCGUCGCGUCCGGUGUGAAAGUCCAUCGCUUAACGGUGGAUCCGCGCCGGGUACGGGCGGGCUUGAGUGCGGUAGGGGAGACUGGAAUUCCCGGUGUAACGGUGGAAUGUGUAGAUAUCGGGAAGAACACCAAUGGCGAAGGCAGGUCUCUGGGCCGUUACUGACGCUGAGGAGCGAAAGCGUGGGGAGCGAACAGG